UCCGAAUCGGGGGAGGGAGGGAGGUUGGGUCGCCGGCGGGCGGCGGCUGCCUAAGCUAUGAUGCGUUCGAGGAGGGCAGCGGUGAGGAGAUGCUUGGGGAUUGGGCGGGUGAUUGUGAAGAACAGGGAGGAAGAACAAGUCGAAGAUUUUCGAUGUUUACUUGGUUAGUGCUGCACAUCAAAUUCUCCCUUUAUAUUUCCCAAGGAUUAAGAAGCAGAUGCUAGUUGAUAAUUGAUGAUAUUUUGUUAACAGUGAAAUAUUCAUUCAUAGCUUCUUCACCAAAUAGUUCGUCUGGCGAAAACACAAUUCAUUCAGUUUCAACUAAAGCAAAACUGAACUUGCUGUUGCGUUUCUAGGAAUUGUCGGCUCGGCUGUACAUUGAAUUUCCACAUCCUCAGAUCUAUCCGCUAGUAUUAAUUUUCAUAUCAUUAGUACUAUACAACUACAAUGACCUCUGAUUAAACUCAGAUGUGUCUUUUUUGGUUAGUUGGUUACUCAUCUCUUCUGCCAGUUGAAUAGCUUGAUUGAGAUCCCGAAGAGGAAAGCAAAGAGAACUGCAAAGGACGCGACCACCAGACCGACCGCCCACAGGAAGUCGUGAUGGUAACCAAAGUAGCCCUCGACAAACUCGGACACGAGCAUGCCAUUGUCGAACUUCUCGGUCACGUCCCCAAACUGUGAAGCUACCAGACCAUAGAGUGUCCACGAAACAGGGCAGAGCCAGUAAUACCAUCUCUACCAUAUUGGAAUUCUCUGUACAAAGAGAGAAGUAGCCAAUUAGAAUGUUACAAGUUUUAGAGUGGUUGGGCUUUUUUUAGAACCGUUCGUUGAUGUCGAUCUAACGGCAGACAAAUACGAAGUACUGGGUAGUACUCCGAUGAAAAUACGCGAAAGUACUAAAACGAGUGGGGCCAGUACUCGUGACAAGGUGGGGACACGUUUUAAUCUAGGGGCAGUUUAGUCCUAGGAAAAUUUGCACGCGCCGCCCCUCUCGUCGAAUGCAUAACCGCCGCCAUGGUGAUUCACAUUCCACAAUUACUCAUCGGCGGCCAUCUCCUCCCUCUCCUCCAAGUCCACCUCAGUCAUCUCCUUCUUCUUGCCGCUGCAACUUCGCUCCACUCAGGCAACCCCCCACCCACCCCCACCCCCUCUUACACGGCAGAUCGAGCUGAUGGCCGGCGACGAGAACACCGACUUCGUGCAGAUCGCCGGCGGCGACCAGGUCAAGUUGGCCAGGUUGAGGGAGAUCCGUUCUUGGUUUGACAACACAAGGCAGAUGAACUGGACGGCAAUGGCCACUCUCAAGAAUAUGACGAAGAAGGAGAGGGCAAAGCUUUGCCUCCCGCCCGCACAACCGAUUGACAAGAUCGAGAUCCUCCUCUGGGCGAUGGAGCAGGCCAAUUCGUCCAGCGAGUGGACCAGGCGGAGGUGGUGGGCGUUCAGAUCCAGGGUAGAUCAUCCACUGGAUCAGGAACCCACCGUGCACGAGGUGCCGUUGCAGAUUGUGCAGCCUCCAACCGAGUCACCGGAGACUCCGAAGCGCAAGAUGAGGAGGACAGUGGUCGCGACCUCGCUUCCCCGCCGUUCUCCACGCUUCCCUCGCCGCUCUCCUCGUCUGAACGGCGGCGGUAGCUAUGUUUAGAGUAAGCUUCCCCACUCCUCAUCUUCCUACUGCUCGUGCUUACAUCGUGGUGAUACUGAUCGUAAUAGCUCAGAGAGGGAAUGCCAGAUGGCAUUUUAAUCUCAAUGAAUUGCAUGAAUAUUUGAGUACAUGGAUUUGGAGGAUGGACUAUGAUGUAUGUGAACCCUAGGCAUCAUAUGAACCCUAGGAAAAAUUAGUAAUGUUCUAGUGGUAGACACUGAAAUAUUUCGGUACACACCGGUAGGCACUGAAAUAUUUCGGAACUGCCCUAGGCAAAAUUUGUAAUGUUGUAGUGGUGGACACUGAAAUAUUUCGGUACACACCGGUAGGCACUGAAAUAUUUCGGUACUGCCCUAGGCAAAAUUUGUAAUGUUGUAGUGGUAGACACUGAAAUAUUUUGGUACACACCGGUAGACACUGAAAUAUUUCGUUACUACAAUUUCAGUACACACCGAUGCACACUGAAUUAUUUCAGUACUGCAAUUUCAGUACACACUGAAAUAUUUCAGUACUGCAAAUUCUAUACAAAGUUGGCAUUUUGUCAUUUAUGUGUGAAUCAAUCCAUGCAUCAUAUGGCAUAACUUUGUACAUGAGUUUGGGUCAAUUUCAUGUCUAUUUAUUGUUAAAAUUAUUGUCAUGCCAUGAAACACAAGACAAGUCACUGACCCAAGCUUGCAAAGAUGACAUAUCAAUGUUGCUGAUAUGCACGUUUUCACCAAGUCUUAUGUCUGAAUUAAAACUGAGCAUUUUUUCUUGAUGGUAUCCAUGGAUCUAGAACUCCUAUGAAUUUGCUCAUGUUGGAUGUUUUAUUCUUCAUCAUUUGUACUAGCAUUCCGUGCGAUUAGAUGCCAUGACAAGACCCCUGGCAUAUUUAUUUUCUUGCCUCCAACAUCACAUGUGUGUUUUGCAGGAAAAAACCUGGAGUUCACCAGGCUGGCUGAAGUUGUGAGUCUGGGAGGCUGAUGGUGCUGCUACUGGCUGAUCCUUCUUCUUUCAGUUUUUGUUCGUCAUUUAUCAAGCCGUUGGACCGGGGCUACUUCCCUAUGUGCUGUUAAUGUAUUAAGUAGUUUCUUCGAAUUUGUAGUAUUAGUUAGUUUGAAUGUGGACGUACCUUAAUUUUUGGAACGAAAUGUUGCUAUGUAGGACCAAGGGUUUCAUACCUUAAUCUUUGGAUAAUUAAUUAUGUGAACUAUUAGAUGUG
rnacentral:lncRNA from 1 species